GUACAGUAAGAGUACUGAAAGGAUCAUCUUUUGCAUCAGUAUUGAUGCUGUGUAUCUGAGGGCUCCCGAGGCCUCAGGAGGGAUACAAAAGCUACAAAUAGUGAAAAGAGCCAUGGAAAGAUACAUGCUUGGCAUUACAAGACAAGGUAGAAAGACCUGCACAUGGAUUAGAGAACAAACAAAAGUAUACAAUAUCAUCAAAAGUAUAAAAGAAUUGACACAGAAAUGGGCUGGUCACAUAGCAAGAACAACUUGUGGCAGGUGGACCAAGGAAAUCAAAGAAUGGAUCCCACUUGAUAAAAAAAGCAUCCACGAAAGAGACCUAAAACACAAUGGAUCGAUGACAUCAGCAAAUAUUGUUGGCAAAGGGGAGCUCAGGACCAUAUUCGUUGGAAACAUGCAGAAGAGGCCUUCAUCCUGCAGUGGAUAGUCAAUGGCUAAAUGAUGAUAACCUAACAUUUAUAACACAGAUUUCAAUUCCACAUUAUCAUCUUCCUUUAACAAUCUGAAAAAAAGCUACACCUUCAUUCCCCUGCAUGUAAUAUAUAUCAACUCUAUUUUACAAACUUAACCCACCAGUUUAGAGUUGUUAAGAGUUGGAAAAUGUGCACAUUUAAUAAAUCAUAAUCAGGCUACUUAAUCCAUAUCCUUCCUUUUACUUUCACAAAUAUGCAAUAUAUUCAUGCAAUGUUAGAAGGACUAUAUAAUUAAAUGAGGAAUAUGGAUCUGAAUAUUAAUGUAUUAAAGACCAAGGAUUUGACAGGGAAAAUGGAAUGAACAAUUUCAAGUUACAUAUAAAUGGUGAAAAACUAAAGGAAGUAGAUAAAUCUUUGUACAUUAGUAGAAUGUUUAUUAAAGGUGGAGAAAUGGGAAGAGAAUUAUUAAACUAUACAAAUGCUAAUUAAAAGUUAUAUGGUCUGUU